rnacentral:rRNA from 1 species
GACGAACGCUGGCGGCGUGCUUAACACAUGCAAGUCGAACGGAAAGGCCCUGCUUUUGUGGGGUGCUCGAGUGGCGAACGGGUGAGUAACACGUGAGUAACCUGCCCUUGACUUUGGGAUAACUUCAGGAAACUGGGGCUAAUACCGGAUAGGAGCUCCUGCUGCAUGGUGGGGGUUGGAAAGUUUCGGCGGUUUGGGAUGGACUCGCGGCUUAUCAGCUUGUUGGUGGGGUAGUGGCUUACCAAGGCUUUGACGGGUAGCCGGCCUGAGAGGGUGACCGGCCACAUUGGGACUGAGAUACGGGCCAGACUCCUACGGGGGGCAGCAGUGGAGAAUAUUGCGCACUGGGCGGAAGCCUGAUGCAGCAACGCCGCGUGCGGGAUGACGGCCUUCGGGUUGUAAACCGCUUUCGCCUGUGACGAAGCGUGAGUGACGGUAAUGGGUAAAGAAGCACCGGCUAACUACGUG